rnacentral:rRNA from 1 species
AGUGAACGCUGGCGGUAGGCCUAACACAUGCAAGUCGAACGGCAACACAGUAAGAGCUUGCUCUUACGGGUGGCGAGUGGCGGACGGGUGAGGAAUACAUCGGAAUCUACUUUUUCGUGGGGGAUAACGUAGGGAAACUUACGCUAAUACCGCAUACGACCUACGGGUGAAAGCAGGGGAUCUUCGGACCUUGCGCGAUUGAAUGAGCCGAUGUCGGAUUAGCUAGUUGGCGGGGUAAAGGCCCACCAAGGCGACGAUCCGUAGCUGGCCUGAGAGGAUGAUCAGCCACACUGGAACUGAGACACGGUCCAGACUCCUACGGGAGGCAGCAGUGGGGAAUAUUGGACAAUGGGCGCAAGCCUGAUCCAGCCAUACCGCGUGGGUGAAGAAGGCCUUCGGGUUGUAAAGCCCUUUUGUUGGGAAAGAAAAGCAGCAGGUUAAUACCCCGCUGUUCUGACGGUACCCAAAGAAUAAGCACCGGCUAACUUCGUG